ACCGGAAGAAUGGGACAGUUCCCAUGGUGAACAAGGAAGCGGCUGGAGUGCUCCGUUGCUGAGCAACGAUUGGACCAGCCAUCGUCACGUGACCGGAUAAAGUGCGAUUGUUUCCUGAAAAUUACCGGUGGAUUCGAUGACGGUUCUUUCCGGGUAUUGGCUAACGCGGAGCGUGAUUGAUUGAUGGGAGAAUUGUUGCCAUGGAAACACUGCUCAAGUUGAUGAGAACAGCGGCUUACCCGUGAGCAACGUACAGUUAUUGUGCAAUGAACCCACACUAGAAAUGGCGACAGCAGGAAUCCCUUCUGAACCAAGGUCACUGACUUGGGUGUUAAGCAGUAAUAAAACUGCAAAGUGUUGAUAAAGCCACUGUUUCUUUGCAGAGGAGGAGGAUAAGAAGAGAAUCAGAACAGGUGGAAUCCACACAACGUUUCUCCCAGCAGAGAAGCAACUAUGACAGCAGGGACCCCUUCUAAACCAAACUCUGAAGUCCUGCUACAGUUUGAAGGCAAACAAAAGAGAGGAAAUACCCAAGCUUCUGGAAAGUGUUGCUCUAGCAUCUGGCCAUGCUUAGAUUUUAGCACACACUCAAAAAACAUAAGCCCAACUGGAAGAUCCCAGGAGUAUCUCUGGUACAAGAAAAUCCAGACCGAGGAAAGGAAAAGUGUGGGAAAGCAGUGAUUUGGAAGUGAACAUCAUAUGGUCAACUGAGAAUCAAUGGAGAUGCAGGACUAGCUACGUGAAACAACAAUAUGAAUGAACCCUUAUUCUUUU